UGACAGUUAGUUCAGCAGGUUAGAGCAUCCGUCUGAUACGCGGAAGGUCGCAGGUUCGAGUCCUGCACUGUCAA
rnacentral:tRNA from 1 species